GGGGCUCCAGAACUGUCAUCACCCUCUGCCUCACUGAGGGCCACAACAGUGAUAGCACGUAGGAGCUGUUUUGCAUGGUCCAAACAUUGUGACUGAAGAAGUUUUGCUAAUGACCUGACAAAGAAAUCUUUAACACGGUGUGUUUUCAUCUUCAGGCAGUCCCACUGGCAUAUCAUCUUGAUGCAGAGCGCAACAUCAACCCUGAUAAAACAGGGGGGGAGUUUGGCAGACUGGGUUCCAAGAAGGACAUGAAAGCAUUCAUUAAGUCAGGAGCCUGACCACACCUGCGGAGGAGAAUUACUCACACCUGCAGCUGAUCAAGCCUCGUCAGAGGAGCUACUUAGGAGUGUGGUGGAGCUCUCUCCGAUGCUGGAUCAUUGCGUAACUUCACGUUAGUCUCUUGGCGAGUUAGUUAAGGUUAGUCUGCCGCAUUGUGGUGCUGCUGACGGCUGCCUCUUUGUUAUUCCCCAGGAGGAGUGUGGAGACGAGAGGGCAGCGAGCACGGGGUGCUCAGACACUGAGGAGACAAAGAACACUAACACUGGCAAGAGGACACGUCAGAGUCGGGAACGCACUGGGGAUUUAUUGUUGUUUGGAUUAUUUUGCAUCACUGUAAAUAAAUGCACUGACCUCAUCACAGAGUCCAGCAUUUGGGUCCUCCUUCCCCUCAUCAUAGUCUGCCACACAGGCCGUGACAGAAAAGCCCACUAAAAGAACGCCCACCAGACCAAAGCAAUGGUUUUGACUUGAUCAGCAUUAACCCCGCCCCCUGACUUUGAUGGGUGAAGCUGACAAAUAAAAUGUAUUUAUGAACAUCGAUGCAGGGCCAGGAGUAGCAACGUGAAUGAAAUAAAUACAUCAUUAAAUAAUUCAUUAAAUGUGUCAGUAAAAUAAUUAAAAUAGAAAACAAACCAAUAAUUGAUUAAAUAUGUAAUUAACUAAUUUGAAUUGUACAUAAACAAAUAAUGAAACAUUUUAAAUGAAAUUAAUGGAUAAUUCAUUAUUAAUAUAUUUCUUUAAUUGAUUAUGAACAUUUUUAAAUUAAUUACUGAAAUAAUUAAUUCAUUAGUGAUGUCUUUAUUUAAGACAACCAUAAAAUACCAUAAAAUAGCAAAUUUAUUCAAAAUAAAUUUAAGACAUCAAUAUUAAAGGUUAAAUUAUGAUAAUGAAUACAUGCAACUAUAACUGAUGACAUAAAAAUGAGGAUUUCUUAAGCUAAAGCCAAAGUGCUGACUCAUUUGGCAUGUUACUCUCAAA